CUGGUACUUGUCAUGGUUUUGCAAUAUAUAGAGCACUUCUGCAGGUUUCAGCCAUCGCGUUUGAGCUUCUUGAAACAGAACAUUAAUAUCAUACCCUGAUUGUGACAUAUCGGAUUCCCAAAAUGAUAGCACCGUACGGAUUGCAGAGAAAUAAAUUCACUUCACUUCACUAGAGCUCACCUGGAGCUCAUAGGCGAACCGGAGACGCUCAUCCUUAAGUUCAAGUAUCGGCAAAAUCUACGAUAAAGCACGAAACAAAGCGAAGCCGCUACAUGUGGAAACCGUCGAGGCCGUAAAGAAGCAUAAUUCCGAGACGAGAGACAAUCCUGUACUGGGUCGGAGUUUAACCGGUUGAAACUCAAAAAAAAAGAUUAUAUACACAAAGAGAGAGAAUCUAUUUAUUUUGAUUCGACUUUGGCCGUACGAUUUGAACGUCUUAACCCGACAGAGUCACAGAACGAAGAAGAAGAAGAUGGCUCCAGGUGGGUUUGUGGAAACCAGAAACUGAGAAGCAGCAG
rnacentral:misc_RNA from 1 species